AGAGUUUGAUCCUGGCUCAGGACGAACGCUGGCGGCGCGCCUAACACAUGCAAGUCGAACGAGAGAUGAGGAGCUUGCUCUUCAAAUCGAGUGGCGAACGGGUGAGUAACGCGUGAGGAACCUGCCUCAAAGAGGGGGACAACAGUUGGAAACGACUGCUAAUACCGCAUAAGCCCACGGCUCGGCAUCGAGCAGAGGGAAAAGGAGCAAUCCGCUUUGAGAUGGCCUCGCGUCCGAUUAGCUAGUUGGUGAGGUAACGGCCCACCAAGGCGACGAUCGGUAGCCGGACUGAGAGGUUGAACGGCCACAUUGGGACUGAGACACGGCCCAGACUCCUACGGGAGGCAGCAGUGGGGAAUAUUGCACAAUGGGGGAAACCCUGAUGCAGCGACGCCGCGUGGAGGAAGAAGGUCUUCGGAUUGUAAACUCCUGUUGUUGAGGAAGAUAAUGACGGUACUCAACAAGGAAGUGACGGCUAACUACGUGCCAGCAGCCGCGGUAAAACGUAGGUCACAAGCGUUGUCCGGAAUUACUGGGUGUAAAGGGAGCGCAGGCGGGAGAACAAGUUGGAAGUGAAAUCCAUGGGCUCAACCCAUGAACUGCUUUCAAAACUGUUUUUCUUGAGUAGUGCAGAGGUAGGCGGAAUUCCCGGUGUAGCGGUGGAAUGCGUAGAUAUCGGGAGGAACACCAGUGGCGAAGGCGGCCUACUGGGCACCAACUGACGCUGAGGCUCGAAAGUGUGGGUAGCAAACAGGAUUAGAUACCCUGGUAGUCCACACUGUAAACGAUGAUUACUAGGUGUUGGAGGAUUGACCCCUUCAGUGCCGCAGUUAACACAAUAAGUAAUCCACCUGGGGAGUACGACCGCAAGGUUGAAACUCAAAGGAAUUGACGGGGGCCCGCACAAGCAGUGGAGUAUGUGGUUUAAUUCGACGCAACGCGAAGAACCUUACCAAGUCUUGACAUCCUGCGACGCACAUAGAAAUAUGUGUUUCCUUCGGGACGCAGAGACAGGUGGUGCAUGGUUGUCGUCAGCUCGUGUCGUGAGAUGUUGGGUUAAGUC
rnacentral:rRNA from 1 species